rnacentral:rRNA from 1 species
GAUGAACGCUGGCGGCGUGCCUAAUACAUGCAAGUCGAGCGAACAGACGAGGAGCUUGCUCCUCUGACGUUAGCGGCGGACGGGUGAGUAACACGUGGAUAACCUACCUAUAAGACUGGGAUAACUUCGGGAAGCCGGAGCUAAUACCGGAUAAUAUAUUGAACCGCAUGGUUCAAUAAUGAAAGACGGUUUUGCUGUCACUUAUAGAUGGAUCCGCGCCGCAUUAGCUAGUUGGUAAGGUAACGGCUUACCAAGGCAACGAUGCGUAGCCGACCUGAGAGGGUGAUCGGCCACACUGGAACUGAGACACGGUCCAGACUCCUACGGGAGGCAGCAGUAGGGAAUCUUCCGCAAUGGGCGAAAGCCUGACGGAGCAACGCCGCGUGAGUGAUGAAGGUCUUCGGAUCGUAAAACUCUGUUAUUAGGGAAGAACAAAUGUGUAAGUAACUAUGCACGUCUUGACGGUACCUAAUCAGAAAGCCACGGCUAACUACGUG